rnacentral:rRNA from 1 species
AAGCAGCUUGCUGCUUUGCUGACGAGUGGCGGACGGGUGAGUAAUGUCUGGGAAACUGCCUGAUGGAGGGGGAUAACUACUGGAAACGGUAGCUAAUACCGCAUAACGUCGCAAGACCAAAGAGGGGGACCUUCGGGCCUCUUGCCAUCGGAUGUGCCCAGAUGGGAUUAGCUAGUAGGUGGGGUAAAGGCUCACCUAGGCGACGAUCCCUAGCUGG